rnacentral:sRNA from 1 species
AUUUAUUCCGCAUCUUUCUAUCACUGUUUUAUAAAACGGUGCCAGUGUCCCGCGAAAUGGCAGGUGCCAACACCUUCCAGAGUGUUCAGUGUACUAGCUGUGCUCCUGUAGGGUGGGAAUCCAGCGACCGAGUGGUGCCGGAGACACGGGCUCAGGAGCCGCUGAUUGCGCAGAAGCGCAGGUUGUGCGCAAACCUCUCUGUCCGAGCCUCAACAGGGCUCGGGAAUUGGGGCUUUGUUUGUUCUAACCAGCCCCAAAGCGCCUGUUUUUCCUGGAUGCGGCGGGAGAAGCAACUACAAAGGCAACAGUUCUCCAGCUGCGCGUAUUCCUCCUCAGCUAGACGCUAGGUAGCCGGUCCCUUAACUCAGAGCGCUGGGAGGCAGCCAUUUGUUUAAAGCGCCCAGAAACCUUCUUCCCCCAUUUCCGCAGCACUUGCAGCUCCGGCAGGAAUCUAGGCUUCCGGGUUCUCGGGGUCCUUUCCUCUCCUACACGUCAGCGAAUUCAGGGGGCUGUGAGCUCCCCGAUUGGGGCUCGGUCCGGCCAAUAUUGUCACUCUAACGUGCACUCGCGCCUUCCCUCGGCUCUACAGGGCAUCGCAGCCACCGAUCCCAGCCCCUCCCCGGCCUAUGCCAGCCGCCUGGUCGCCCUCCGGGCUGCGGAGCCAGGCCUGGCCUGACAGCAGCAGCUGUUUUCUUCCCGAAGCCGCAGCGCUCAAGGGCGUGGUUGCGGUAGAGACCUCGGAUCCCAUUUGGCCUGUGCGGACCCUACCGCGCCAACCCCUCGUCUUAGGACCCAGAGGCCCGACAGCCAGGUGGGGGUGGUCUGGGCAGACCGGUCGACAUCGCAAGUCAGUGCGGACUGGGAGGGCCAGCUGCCCACAGCACGGUCUCCGGGAGGCCUCUGGAGCAGCGUAAUGAAAUAUUAUUACUGGCGAGCGUAUCUGGAGGGAUCCCGGAAGGUUUAGGCAAGAUUUGAAGAAUGCUGCUAAAUGUUUGCCCUCAGGGGGUAGAAGGAAAGAGGGAGGGGGCUCCAUUCCUGUAAAAAUCUCUUCUGAAGUGAAUCAUUGCUCAGAAUACCUCUCCCUGCAGCACGAAUCCACUUUAUGCACAAACAAUGUGCAUCGGCUGCGCAUCCUUAAAUUAUUUCAUCGCUUUGGCGUUUGCGCAAAACCUACUUUAGGAAACAAUUUGGGCCAGGAUGGGGGUGGGUGGGGGGGAUGAACGGCUGGGCGGGGUAGCGGCAGAGAAGUUUGUCUGAAACAGCAACUUUAAAUCGAGCAGAUGUGAGCUUCCCCGUUAACUAUAUUGUGAGCUCCUCCGUUAAUGUAUUUCCGAGCAGAAGUGCUUCUGGUUCCAAGUGGAGAAAAUUUGGAGGAAACAACCCGAGUGGAUCAGGAUUUUCGAGUAUGGAAACUCGACUAAGAUGGAGUCACUGUCGCUCCUCCUCCAUACCCUCCCCAUGAGCCCAGACGAGGAAGGCGGGAGGGAUGGAGGCGUUCAGGAGAGGGCACCGGGGGCGCUCUCUGCACGAGGGAAAGGGGUGCUCGACCUGAGGCGCCGUGGAAAGGGAUUUCUGAAAAUAUUUUGUAGUUAUUUUCCAGAAAAUGAGAGACGAAUGGGGGAGGGUGGCAAGCACCUGACGGGAACACGACCUACGAGCACUAAUGUCUCUGCGUUGCCUCCGCCAGGCGAGAAGCCCUUCAGAUGCGAGUUCGAGGGCUGCGAGCGGCGCUUCGCCAACAGCAGCGACCGUAAGAAGCAUUCGCACGUGCACACUAGCGACAAGCCAUACACGUGCAAGGUGCGGGGCUGCGACAAGUGCUACACGCACCCCAGCUCGCUGCGUAAGCACAUGAAGGUGCACGGGCGCUCGCCGCCGCCCAGCUCUGGCUACGAUUCGGCUACACCGUCUGCCCUCGUGUCGCCCUCGUCGGACUGCGGCCACGAGUCCCAGGUGGCCUCCUCGGCGGCGGUGGCGGCGCGUACCGCCGACUUGAGCGAAUGAUGUCCACCGCGUUGCUCUCAAGGUAAUCUCGCUCCGCGCAGCUGAGCGCCCCGCAUCUCGCGCCUGCUACAUCAAAGGGCCCGCGCACAAAGCAGUGUUUCUUCGCCACGGUGCAUCUUCAUGGUAAGUUAGGAUUUCUAUGGCAAUGUGCAAGUCACACUGAAAUCCUGAAAGGCCAAGCCUGGAGCCCGUCCAGGCUUUUCAUUAAGGACAUAAUAUUUACGUCUAACAGACCUUUUUUCUUGUGUAUACAAGUAUAUAUUUUUGUUUGACGCGGACUAAAUCAUUUUCAUUUAAUUUCCGGUAAACAAAACCCACGCGAAUGGGCACUUGUACCCGAUCAUAAUAAAAAUGGAUAAUAAUGUGAAGGAAGAAAAGAGCCGCUUGAAUCGCCGCUCAGCCCCCUUUGUUUCUGCUUUCUGCGGUGAUCAGAGGGCGCAUUUGGGUUUGAUGGCGAGUUUCUAAAGGCGAGGAAAUGGUUUGUAAGAGGGGAAAGAAAAGGAGAAAGGUCUAAUCAAGCUCGGGUUGUUCAAAGAGUCGGGUUUUGGGGUUGAAAGUGUGAGUUUGACGGUGCAUCAGCAUGCCGCGUUAGGCUCGCCAUGGAAAUACGCGCGGGGAGCGGCCGCUUCAAAGGCGGCACACUUCACUACAGACACUCUAUUAAGAUACAUUUGCGCUGACCUUUGCUUUCACGCCAUUUAAUACUGUCACUGCGCUCUCCAGUAUAUACUUCCUUUCUAGAACCCGACUUGCCCACGUUUAGGGGUUCACUCUGCACCCUGAUGUGGGAGGCUUUGGCGCAGGGGACACUUUCAGGAAAGGGAGGAGCACAAGGACUCUGUGCAUCUUGACUGCGCCCCAAAGAGGCUCCAGGAUCAGGAGUGAAAGAUUUUAAAGCAGCCUCCGAAGCUUAACAAAUGAGCAUUCCAAGCUCAGUUUUGUGCAAAUCGCCUUUCUGACUCUUGAGUAGGAUGGAGGCUUAAAUUUAAUGGUGACUUGAGGGGAAGGGAGCCACCCUGGGGGAGUCUGAGGAGUUCAGACUGUGCCCUUGGGAAUUUCCACUCUGGCUUUCCGUGCCACUCUUCUUCCUUUCCAUCCCAAAAGUCUCUUGCGGCCCCUGAAACUUGUUUCUUUCUAAGGCAAGGUGUGUGGUACCCUUAGGCCUGGACUAGUCCUAGAUGCAAACUCAAGAGCCCAAGGCCAAGGGGAUGUGGGGAAGAUGGCAGGAAAGUUAGAAGUCCAUGUUCCCUUAAUUGUCUUGUUGUUUAUUUUAUCCAAGUACCCCAGUGAAUAGGGGAAAAAUAAACACAGUG